GUGCCAUCCGCCGCGGUAAUACGAAGUGGGCUAGCGUUGUUCGGAUUUACUGGGCGUAAAGCGCACGUAGGCGGACUAUUAAGUCAGGGGUGAAAUCCCGGGGCUCAACCCCGGAACUGCCUUUGAUACUGGUAGUCUUGAGUUCGAGAGAGGUGAGUGGAAUUCCGAGUGUAGAGGUGAAAUUCGCAGAUAUUCGGAGGAACACCAGUGGCGAAGGCGGCUCACUGGCUCGAUACUGACGCUGAGGUGCGAAAGCGUGGGGAGCAAACAGGAUUAGAUACCCCAGUAGUCC
rnacentral:rRNA from 1 species